rnacentral:tRNA from 1 species
AAGAUUUUAAGUUAAAUAAACUAUUAACCUUCAAAGUUAAAAAUAAUAAAUUAUAAUUAAGUCUUA